UUGUUCACUUUGGAAGCACGUAUGUUAAAGCUGGAACUAUACAGAGAAGAUUCUCAUGUCCCCUGUGCAAGGAUGACAUGAAAAUUCAUGAUGUAUUCAGUGUUUUU
rnacentral:snRNA from 1 species